rnacentral:lncRNA from 1 species
UUUUAGGGCCAUACCUGCUGGCAUAGGGAAGUUCCCAGGCUAGGGGUUGAAUUGGAGCUGCAGCUGCCAGCCUACACCACAGCCACAGCAACACGGGAACCAAGCCACAUCUGCAACCUACACCACAGCUCAUGGCAACACCAGGUCCUUAACCCACUGAGCAAGGCCAGGGAUCGAACCGGCAUCCUCAUGGAUACUAGUCAGGCUUAUUACUGCUGAGCCACAACAGGAACUCCCGAGAAAGGAUAUUGGCAAGACAAUUAAGAGUCCUUUUUGAAAACCUCAAUAUCCCCUCUGCUAUUCUAGAUUUACAUGUGACUGGGCAGAAGGAAGGACUUCUCUGAGAAUGCCUUUUCUACUCCAAAGCUGAGAGAGCAAAACCCUGUAGAGAGGGCCUCAGCAUACCGCAUUGUGGACAGAAUACGUUCUUGUGCUUCCCGUUAGUUUUAGGGUAUUAGUCUUAUCAUAACCUAGGGAGCUUACAUACCAGCUGUGAGGCUAGUCCCUAGCAGAAACCCUACAGCUGCUUGUCAACAGGAAAAGAGCACUGUAGAGGCAGUAAGAAUAUCAGGUGGUGUGUCCUAAGUAUGGUAGCUAAUGGCAUAGCUCCAAGCAAAAUUACUUGACCUCACCAAGCCUCUGGUGCCACAUCUGCAAAACAAAAGCGAUGGUCCCCAGGACCCCUGAGUUUACACCUAGGUCUAAGAUUCUGUGAUGCAAAAGUUGGGUCACAGCCUCUCGCCCUGGUGUGGCCCCACCAGCUCUGCAGGCUUGCUUCUCUCCUGACAGGCUGCAGCAUAAGCUGGCCCUCUUGCAGCAACAGUGUGAAGAGAAACACCAGCUCUUCCAGUCCCUCCAGUCAGAGCUACAGAUCUACGAGGCACUUUAUGGAAAUUCCAAGAAGGGGCUGAAAGUUCUGUCUCAGUCACUGGAGAUCUCAAUAAGAAGACAGGGGAGCUCACACACAAAGCACAGGGCUUGGUGACAUGAGCAAGAUCUGCUUAGACAGCCUUAAACAUAGGCCAUGAGAGUCAGAUUUCACCUACCUGGAUGAAAGUCCAGAUCAUGCAAUAAUUUUUUUUUUUUUCACAAAGAAGUGCAAAGAACGGUCCUGGUCAUGUCAUCAUCUGAAAACAUACCGCAUGUCAUGAAUUCUCCACCCAUACAACCAGUAUUGCAGGCAACCUGCUCCCAUCAUGACUCUUCCCCAGUGAUUAAAAAAAAAAAUUAAAUCAUAGAAAUAACAGUAUAGAACCCACAUAUCCAGCCUGGAUUUAAAUUUUAAACCUCUUGUUGAAGACGUUUGCUCCCUCUAGUAUUUGAGAAUCUUGUGAUCCUUCCUCAUUCUUCUUCCAGUGGGAAAAGGCAUUCUAAGCAUUGUUAAGCCAGGCAGGCUGGAGCAGAGGACUAACACCGGUGUGAUGAAAUUUAGCAAAGAUUUAAAAAAACACCCUGACUGUGGUUUAAAAAAUCAGUGUAGAUAUACCAGAUGGGGAGACCUGGCUCUGUAGCCCCUCAUGGGCUUGAGGAUGGGAGAGUGAGGUAGAAACGCAUGUACACAAGGAAGCUGUAGGCCAAGAUUGCUAGAAAAGCUAACUUAACCUGAGACCACUGUAGUGUAGCUGUGCUGUCCGUAUGGAGAGACCACGGUAGAAAUAUUGUUAGACUGUGGGACACCAUCUUAUAAAAGGGACAUUGACAAACAAGGGACACAAUAAAGACAGGGACCACAAUGUUGAGGGAACAGAAAUCUCAAACUGGCUGAAGAAACUAAAAUAAUUUAGGCUUGGAAAAGAUCAUAAGAAUAUAAGAACUGCGGGGCACAGUCUUUAAGGCAUUAGCCUGCUGCGGCACCCUUUGCCUGGAAAAGUAAUAAAGCUAUCUUUUUCUCCUUCAAAAAAAAAAAAAAAAAAAA